rnacentral:rRNA from 1 species
GGACUACCGGGGUAUCUAAUCCUGUUUGCUACCCACGCUUUCGCGCCUCAGCGUCAGUCUCAGUCCAGGUGGUCGCCUUCGCCACUGAUGUUCCUUCCGAUCUCUACGCAUUUCACCGCUACACCGGAAAUUCCACCACCCUCUACUGCACUCCAGAUACCCAGUCUAAGAUGCAAUUCCUAGGUUAAGCCCAGGGCUUUCACAUCUCACUUGGCCAUCCGCCUACGCGCCCUUUACGCCCAGUAACUCCGAUUAACGCUUGCACCCUCUGUAUUACCGCGGCUGCUGGCAC